rnacentral:tRNA from 1 species
GCCCUUGCGGAGCAGUCUGGAAUGCUCGCCGCUUUGUCACGGCGGAGACGCAGGUUCAAAUCCUGUCAGGGGCG